GCAUGGCUAACUCAGAUCAUCUGAGUGUAUCAAUGGAUGAGAGGACCCCGCUGAGCACCACACCGGGCUCUGCUGAUGUGCAGAACGGCACCUGCCCCACAGAAGAGGCCGUGGCCACCAGGCACUGCAAGUACCACAGAAGACUGGCCAUCUGCAGCAUCAUCUGUGGGAACUCCUGCCUCGGAACCAAGGCCUUGAUAAAUUCAGUCAAGGCUGAACACACAAACGACCCAAAGGAAGCAGCAAAGUACUCACAACUUGCAAAGAAAUACAGCAUCAUCUCCAUUGUGUUGUGGAUCGUAAUCAUGCUCGUAUUCUUUGCACUACUUGCAUUCCUACUGUGUCUGCUUUUCAUCUUUGCAAUAUUUGGUUGUUGUGGUUAACAAAUCAUAAAACAUUUAAAGCAUUUUGCAUUAGAACUAACUGGUCACUCAGCGCAUUGGCCAAAAUGUUCUCACAAAGAAAAGAAUCUCCGGGAGAACCCCUCUGCCCCUUGGGGGCUUUUGCCUCCGGCUCUGUGCGGGACGCGUGGGAUUCCUGCUGCCCCAUGUUUCUGGAGCCUCUGUCUUCUGUCCUCUGACUUUGAUAACAGGGCUACUCACGAUUGGCUUUGGUGGUGCCCUGCUUUAUCGGUAGAUUGGAAAAUCUGUGGCCGGCUCAUUGGUGUGUCCACCGGCUGUGGAGCUAGAAACGCCGAGGAUGGCCCGGAUUGAAGGACUGAUCAGUAACAUCUCAGCUCGUUCAGAUGCCCGGAUUGCAGGACUGACUAAUAAGAUCUCAACCCGUUCGGAGGAAGACAAAAGACAGACGGAUAACAUCUGCAGACAGACUGAACACUUGGUGAAUAGGUGACAGCCUUGUCUGACAGGCUUGAGGAGAUGUCACGGGUGACCCAUGGUCCCACAAGAGGCGAAGAAGCCCUGAGUUCUGACCCAUUGGAGUAUUGAUCAGACAUAUUAGUCGUGGAUUGUCAAAAUGUAUUAGAAUUGGCUGUGUAUUAUUCUGUUCCUUCUCCCUCAACCCUCCCUUCCCGGGUCCAAUCUAGCUCACCAGCUGUGCCUCUAUCUAUCCUCUUCCCUUGUUGUGGCUCCCUUCAAGGACAACUGUUGGACUGGCAUGUAAACAUCUUGGUCGGCCUUGGUCAUACUUCUAUUAACACCACUUCACUACACUGAUGUAGAUCACACACACACACACACAUACACCUUACAGCCUCACUAUCUGCUCUCCGACAUUAUCUAUCUGUCCUGAUGAACCCAAGAAAAAAUUCCAACAAGGUUUCCACUUGUACUGUGUGCCACUGUACAGUAUGUGCGUGUGUUUUUGGCUCUGUAUUAUUUUGUACUGCAACUUGCUUCCACUGGGACUGGCGGCUGAUGGAAAUUUCCCCGCUGUGGGACUAAUAAAGGUCUGUCUAUCUAUCUAACUGUCUGUCUG
rnacentral:lncRNA from 1 species